rnacentral:rRNA from 1 species
AGAGUUUGAUCCUGGCUCAGGACGAACGCUGGCGGCGUGCUUAACACAUGCAAGUCGAGCGAUGAAACUUCUUCGGAAGUGGAUUAGCGGCGGACGGGUGAGUAACACGUGGGUAACCUGCCUCAUAGAGGGGAAUAGCCUUCCGAAAGGGAGAUUAAUACCGCAUAAGAUUGUAGUACCGCAUGGUACAGCAAUUAAAGGAGCAAUCCGCUAUGAGAUGGGCCCGCGGCGCAUUAGCUAGUUGGUGAGGUAACGGCUCACCAAGGCGACGAUGCGUAGCCGACCUGAGAGGGUGUACGGCCACAUUGGAACUGAGACACGGUCCAGACUCCUACGGGAGGCAGCAGCUAAGAAUCUUCCGCAAUGGGCGAAAGCCUGACGGAGCGACGCCGCGUGAACGAAGAAGGCCGUGAGGUUGUAAAGUUCUUUUCGGGAGGGGGAACGAGGCUGCCAGGCAAUGGGCGGCCGAUGACGUGAAUCCCGGAAUAAGCCCCGGCUAACUACGUGCCAGCAGCCGCGGUAACACGUAGGGGGCGAGCGUUGUUCGGAAUCAUUGGGCGUAAAGGGCGUGCAGGCGGCCGCCAAAGUCCGGCGUGAAAGACCCAGGCUCAACCUGGGGGGUGCGCCGGAUACUGGGCGGCUUGAGUACAGGAGGGGACGGCGGAAUUCCAGGUGUAGGGGUGAAAUCUGUAGAAAUCAGGAGGAACACCGGUGGCGAAGGCAGCUUGCUGGUCCGCUACUGACGCUGAUGCUCGAAGGUGCGGGUAUCGAACAGGAUUAGAUACCCUGGUAGUCCGCACAGUAAACUAUGGACACUCGCUGUCGGCGAUAUACUGUCGGUGGCUAAGCGAAAGCAUUAAGUGUCCCACCUGGGGAGUACGUCGGCAACGAUGAAACUCAAAGGAAUUGACGGGGGCCCGCACAAGCGGAGGAACAUGUGGUUUAAUUCGAUGAUACGCGAGGAACCUUACCCGGGUUUGAAUUGCUGAAUUUGCAUUUGGAGACAUUUGCUUCCCUUUUGGGUUUCAGUGAAGGUGCUGCAUGGUUGUCGUCAGCUCGUGCCGUGAGGUGUCGGCUUAAGUGCCAUAACGAGCGCAACCCUUGCCGUUAGUUGCCAUCGGGUCAUGCCGGGCACUCUAUUGGGACUGCCAUCGUAAGAUGUGAGGAAGGUGGGGAUGACGUCAAAUCAGCACGGCCCUUAUGUCCGGGGCGACACACGUGUUACAAUGGUCGGUACAAUGGGCAGCUACUCAGCGAUGAGAUGCUAAUCUUCAAAACCGAUCUCAGUUCGGAUCGGAGUCUGCAACUCGACUCCGUGAAGCUGGAUUCGCUAGUAAUCGCAUAUCAGCCAUGAUGCGGUGAAUACGUUCCCGGGCCUUGUACUCACCGCCCGUCAAG